AAUUAAUUGGCUGAAUCUAAGCGUUUAUCUUGAAAAUAAAUUAAAUAGGUUAAACCCCUGUAUUAAUUA
rnacentral:tRNA from 1 species